UACGUAGGGGGCAAGCGUUGUCCGGAAUCAUUGGGCGUAAAGAGCGUGUAGGCGGCCAGAAAAGUCCGCUGUGAAAACUCGAGGCUCAACCUCGAGACGCCGGUGGAAACCGUCUGGCUAGAGUCCGGAAGAGGAGAGUGGAAUUCCUGGUGUAGCGGUGAAAUGCGUAGAGAUAUGGAGGAACACCAGUGGCGAAGGCGGCUUCCUGGUCUGUAACUGACACUGAGGCGCGAAAGCGUGGGGAGCAAACAGG
rnacentral:rRNA from 1 species